UACGGAGGGUGCAAGCGUUAUCCGGAUUCACUGGGUUUAAAGGGUGCGUAGGCGGGCUUGUAAGUCCGUGGUGAAAUCUCUGAGCUUAACUCGGAAACUGCCAUGGAUACUAUAGGCCUUGAAUUCUGUGGAGGUUUGCGGAAUAUGUCAUGUAGCGGUGAAAUGCUUAGAUAUGACAUAGAACACCGAUUGCGAAGGCAGCAGGCUACACAGCGAUUGACGCUGAGGCACGAAAGCGUGGGGAUCAAACAGG
rnacentral:rRNA from 1 species